AGCGUAGGCGGACAUUUAAGUCAGGGGUGAAAUCCCGGGGCUCAACCUCGGAAUUGCCUUGAUACUGGGUGUCUUGAGUAUGAGAGAGGUGUGUGGAACUCCGAGUGUAGAGGUGAAAUUCGUAGAUAUUCGGAAGAACACCAGUGGCGAAGGCGACACACUGGCUCAUUACUGACGCUGAGGCUCGAAAGCGUGGGGAGCAAACA
rnacentral:rRNA from 1 species